rnacentral:lncRNA from 1 species
GACGAUUAAAAGGAGGAAAUAUUGGUAGUUUAAUGACCUGCAAAAACUAGUUGUUCAUCCACAACCUAUUGGCAUUUUAUCUACAAACUUUUUAAUUGAAAAUACUGGUAGUUCAUCUGCAAUUUUUACUGGCAGUUUAUCUGCACAUUAUUAGUGGUUCAUCCGCAAAACAAAGUGUUGGGAUGGAAGAGUUCUAAGGAACUCUUACAGUAGAAUGUAGCGGAGUAUGGGUAGGAAUUUUCUUGUUAUAC